GACGAACGCUGGCGGCGUGCCUAAUACAUGCAAGUCGAGCGCAGGAAACUGACGGAACUCUUCGGAGGGAAGGCAGUGGAAUGAGCGGCGGACGGGUGAGUAACACGUAAGGAACCUGCCUCAAGGAUUGGGAUAACUCCGAGAAAUCGGAGCUAAUACCGGAUAGUUCAACGGACCGCAUGGUCCGUUGAUGAAAGGCGCUCCGGCGUCACCUUGAGAUGACCUUGCGGUGCAUUAGCUAGUUGGUGGGGUAACGGCUCACCAAGGCGACGAUGCAUAGCCGACCUGGGAGGGUGAUCGGCCACACUGGGACUGAGACACGGCCCAGACUCAUACGGGAGGCAGCAGUAGGGAAUCUUCCACAAUGGACGAAAGUCUGAUGGAGCAACGCCGCGUGAGUGAUGAAGGUUUUCGGAUCGUAAAACUCUGUUGUAAGGGAAGAACACGUACGAGAGGAAAUGCUCGUACCUUGACGGUACCUUACGAGAAAGCCACGGCUAACUACGUGACAGCCGCCGCCGUAA
rnacentral:rRNA from 1 species